rnacentral:rRNA from 1 species
AUUGAACGCUGGCGGCAGGCUUAACACAUGCAAGUCGAGCGGAGUGAUGGUGCUUGCACUAUCACUUAGCGGCGGACGGGUGAGUAAUGCUUAGGAAUCUGCCUAUUAGUGGGGGACAACAUCUCGAAAGGGAUGCUAAUACCGCAUACGUCCUACGGGAGAAAGCAGGGGACCACUUGUGACCUUGCGCUAAUAGAUGAGCCUAAGUCGGAAUAGCUAGUUGGGGGGGUAAAGGCCUACCAAGGCGACGAUCUGUAGCGGGUCUGAGAGGAUGAUCCGCCACACUGGGACUGAGACACGGCCCAGACUCCUACGGGAGGCAGCAGUGGGGAAUAUUGGACAAUGGGGGGAACCCUGAUCCAGCCAUGCCGCGUGUGUGAAGAAGGCCUUAUGGUUGUAAAGCACUUUAAGCGAGGAGGAGGCUCUUUUGGUUAAUACCCAAGAUGAGUGGACGUUACUCGCAGAAUAAGCACCGGCUAACUCUGUGCCAGCCGCCGCGGUAA